GAUGAACGCUGGCGGCGUGCCUAAUACAUGCAAGUCGAGCGAACAGACGAGGAGCUUUCUCCUCUGACGUGAGCGGCGGCCGGGUGAGUAACACGUGGAUAACCUACCUAUAAGACUGGGAUAACUUCGGGAAACCGGAGCUAAUACCGGAUAAUAUAUUGAUAAGCAUGGUUCAAUAGUGAAAGACGGUUUUGCUGCUACUUAUAGAUGGAUCCGCGCCGCAUUAGCUAGUUGGUUAGGUAACGGCUUACCAAGGCGACGAUGCGUAGCCGACCUGAGAGGGUGGACGGCCAGACGGGAAGUGAGAAAGGGCGCAGACUCCGAAGGGGGGAAGCAGUAGGGAAUCUUCCGCAAGGGACGAAAGCCUAACGGAGCAACGCGGCGGAAGUGAUGAAGGUCCUCGGAUCGGAAAGCUCUGUUAUUAGGGAGGAACAAAUGUGUAAGUAACUAUGCACGUCUUGACGGUACCUAAUCAGAAAGCCACGGCUAACUACGUG
rnacentral:rRNA from 1 species